rnacentral:lncRNA from 1 species
CGCCCCCGCCCCCGCCCCCAACCUCCCACCUCCUCCCUCGCCUUUCUCUCCCGCUCCCCUCCCCCAGCAACCGCACACACGCACACACACAAACAGAGGGAGAGAAGCGGGGGAGAGGGGGGGCGAGAGAGAGAGGGAGAGAGAAGAGACGGAGAGGAGAGAGAGGGGAGAGAGAGAGAGAAAGAGAGAGAGGGAGAGAGAGAGAGAGAGAGAGAAGAGACUCCCCGGCUCCCUCCCUCCCUCGCACACAGCGACUGGAGACGGUCGGAGAGCAACGCGCUGGGAGAGGAGAGACCACCGAGAACAGCCCCGCGCUCUCACACAUACACUCACACUCGGCUCUUUCCUCUCCCCCCCACCUCCUCCUCCUCCUUCCACCCCCACCACUAACACCAUCUCCUCCUCCUCUCUGCAACAAGAAAAAAAAAAGCCAUUUACAGUUGUAACAGUUGGAGGAUAAUGCAAAGGAAGACGCUGCCUGGGAAUUCACCGUCUGUGGACAUGCGCCCCAGAGAGGAAUAAAGCAGUCCUCACCUUGCUCUCCCCACCCAGACCCACUUUCCCCUCCCGCCUCGGCCCCCACCCCGACACCACCAUCACCCCCUUCCCUCCCCCCCACCUCCC